rnacentral:rRNA from 1 species
UCGGGAAUUUUGGGCAAUGGGCGAAAGCCUGACCCAGCAACGCCGCGUGAAGGAUGAAGUAUUUCGGUAUGUAAACUUCGAAAGAAUAGGAAGAAUAAAUGACGGUACUAUUUAUAAGGUCCGGCUAACUACGUGCCAGCAGCCGCGGUAAUACGUAGGGACCAAGCGUUGUUCGGAUUUACUGGGCGUAAAGGGCGCGUAGGCGGCAAUUCAAGUCAUCUGUGAAAUCUCCGGGCUUAACUCGGAACGGUCAGAUGAUACUGCUUUGCUAGAGUGCAGAAGGGGCAAUCGGAAUUCUUGGUGUAGCGGUGAAAUGCGUAGAUAUCAAGAGGAACGCCUGAGGUGAAGACGGGUUGCUGGGCUGACACUGACGCUGAGGCGCGAAAGCCAGGGGAGCAAACGGGAUUAGAUACCCAAGUAGUCCCUGAGCGGGCUGGCAAGGC